rnacentral:rRNA from 1 species
UGGGGGAUAUUGGUCAAUGGGGGGAACCCUGAACCAGCAACGCCGCGUGAGGGAAGACGGCCUUCGGGUUGUAAACCUAAGUGAUCAGGGAAGAAGGAAGUGACAGUACCUGAAAAGCAAGCUCCGGCUAACUACGUGCCAGCAGCCGCGGUAAUACGUAGGGAGCGAGCGUUGUCCGGAAUUACUGGGUGUAAAGGGUGCGUAGGCGGGGAUGCAAGUCAGGCGUGAAAUACCGGGGCUCAACUCCGGGGCGGCGCUUGAAACUGUAUUUCUUGAGUGAAGUAGAGGCAGGCGGAAUUCCUAGUGUAGCGGUGGAAUGCGUAGAUAUUAGGAGGAACACCAGUGGCGAAGGCGGCCUGCUGGGCUUUAACUGACGCUGAGGCACGAAAGCAUGGGGAGCAAACAGG